UACGGAGGGUGCAAGCGUUGUUCGGAAUUACUGGGCGUAAAGGGCGCGUAGGUGGUUUUGUAAGUCAGAUGUGAAAUCCUUCGGCUCAACCGGAGAACUGCAUCUGAUACUGCAGAACUCGAGUACAGGAGAGGGAAACGGAAUUCCAGGUGUAGAGGUGAAAUUCGUAGAUAUCUGGAGGAACACCGGUGGCGAAGGCGGUUUCCUGGCCUGAUACUGACACUGAGGCGCGAAAGCGUGGGGAG
rnacentral:rRNA from 1 species